rnacentral:rRNA from 1 species
AUUGAACGCUGGCGGCAUGCCUUACACAUGCAAGUCGAACGGCAGCGGGGGAGAAGCUUGCUUUUCCUGCCGGCGAGUGGCGAACGGGUGAGUAAUACAUCGGAACGUGCCCUGUAGUGGGGGAUAACUAGUCGAAAGAUUAGCUAAUACCGCAUACGACCUGAGGGUGAAAGUGGGGGACCGCAAGGCCUCGUGCUAUAGGAGCGGCCGAUGUCUGAUUAGCUAGUUGGUGGGGUAAAGGCCUACCAAGGCGACGAUCAGUAGCUGGUCUGAGAGGACGAUCAGCCACACUGGGACUGAGACACGGCCCAGACUCCUACGGGAGGCAGCAGUGGGGAAUUUUGGACAAUGGGCGAAAGCCUGACCCAGCAAUGCUGCGUGUGUGAAGAAGGCCUUCGGGUUGUAAAGCACUUUUGUCCGGAAAGAAAUGGCUCUGGUUAAUACCUGGGGUCGAUGACGGUACCGGAAGAAUAAGGACCGGCUAACUACGUGCCAGCAGCCGCCGCGG